GACGUAGGGGCCAGCGUUGUUCGGAAUUACUGGGUGUAAAGGGUUCGUAGGCGGCGCGGUAAGUCGGGUGUGAAAUUUCGGAGCUUAACUCCGAAACUGCAUUGAUACUGGCGUGCUUGAGGACUGGAGAGGAGACUGGAAUUCAUGGUGUAGCAGUGAAAUGCGUAGAGAUCAUGAGGAAGACCAGUGGCGAAGGCGGGUCUCUGGGCCGAUACUGACGUGAGGAGCGAAAGCGUGGGGAGCGAACAGG
rnacentral:rRNA from 1 species